rnacentral:rRNA from 1 species
AGUCGUGGGGCAGCAUGGGGUAGCAAUACUCUGAUGGCGACCGGCAAACGGGUGAGGAACAUGUACGCAACCUUCCUUUAACUGGAGAAUAGCCCCUCGAAAGAGGGAUUAAUACUCCGUAACAUAUUUUUAAGACAUCUUAUUAAUAUUAUAGCUCCGGCGGUUAAAGAUGGGCGUGCACCUGAUUAGAUAGUUGGCGGGGUAACGGCCCACCAAGUCUGCGAUCAGUAACUGGUGUGAGAGCACGACCAGUCACACGGGCACUGAGACACGGGUCCGACUCCUACGGGAGGCAGCAGUAAGGAAUAUUGGUCAAUGGACGCAAGUCUGAACCAGCCAUGCCGCGUGGAGGAUUAAGGCCCUCUGGGUUGUAAACUCCUUUUAUCUGGGAAGAAAUGUACUUUUUCUUGAGUACUUGACGGUACCAGAGGAAUAAGCACCGGCUAACUCCGUGCCAGCAGCCGCGGUAAUACGGAGGGUGCAAGCGUUAUCCGGAUUCACUGGGUUUAAAGGGUGCGUAGGUGGGCAGGUAAGUCAGUGGUGAAAUCUCCGGGCUUAACCCGGAAACUGCCGUUGAUACUAUUUGUCUUGAAUAUUGUGGAGGUAAGCGGAAUAUGUCAUGUAGCGGUGAAAUGCUUAGAUAUGACAUAGAACACCAAUUGCGAAGGCAGCUUACUACACAAUGAUUGACACUGAGGCACGAAAGCGUGGGGAUCAAACAGGAUUAGAUACCCUGGUAGUCCACGCCCUAAA